UGAAAAAGAGUGUGACAUUUUCACUUAAAUCCAUAGUAUAUCUUUUUUUAAAAGAAGUGCGAGCAUGCGCAGGGCAAGGGGGUGGCAGAGGCAAAGGGAGAGAGAAAUUCAAGCAGAUUCCGAGCCAAGCGAGGAGUCAGAGGCGGGGCUCCAUCUCAGGACCCUGAGAUCGGACCUGAGCAGGAACCAAGAGUCAGAGGCUUAACCAAGUGCACCCCCCAGGAACCCCUAAAUCCAUAGAAUUUCUUUUGUGACUGGAAUCGUAGCAUGUCUUAGGAUGAAAAUACUCAGUUCUAAUCUGGUAACUUGCUUCCAGAUAGGUCUACCGAUAACAGCAUCCUAGGCAAAUCUGCCUCAACCCUGUCCUCUGAGAUCAUCAGCAAGAAGUGUGUUUACCAGGAUUCCAGUUCUGCAAAGGAGGCUCCUCAAAAGAAGGAAGCAUCCACCCACCUGAGAGACUCUGUGUCAGAGAGAACCCAGAGCUUGGACGGCAGCAUACUCGCUUCUCUCCAUGUCACCUUGUGCUCUAAGGACACCUCCUACUUAUUUGUAUGUAUGUCUGUCCUGGAACAAAAGGAAAGCGCUGAAAAAUCAAAUUAAUUGGUAUUACUGAGCCUCUCCACUAACGACUCACGUGCCAUCACGGUGCACAAUAGGAUUGAUCAACAUGCCGAAGUGCAGAUACUGAAAGAAUCUGCUCCAGAGAACAUCCCAGCAUGACCCAACACCUCCUCCAGACAAAAUCCAGGCUGGAACCAGCCAGCAAGAUUGAGCUUGCUGCUGGGAUUGUCCCAGGCCCUGAAGAGAACUGAACAGUGGUCUGGUGAAAUUUCUAGCAUAUUUUGAAAGGAAAUGUUUUGUCCAGAUAUACAUAGUUGGAUUUGAAUAAUGCAUAUAUGAUAGGACUCCACCAAUGGUAGUCCCAGAACCGGAAGUGUGUUAAGGAUUUGGAGAGAAACUAGGAAAGAAUAAGCAUUGAAUAAAUACAGGGUAAAACAUGCUUUGUAUCUUUCA
rnacentral:lncRNA from 12 species